GACGAACGCUGGCGGCGUGCCUAAUACAUGCAAGUCGAACGAACUCUGGUAUUGAUUGGUGCUUGCAUCAUGAUUUACAUUUGAGUGAGUGGCGAACUGGUGAGUAACACGUGGGAAACCUGCCCAGAAGCGGGGGAUAACACCUGGAAACAGAUGCUAAUACCGCAUAACAACUUGGACCGCAUGGUCCGAGUUUGAAAGAUGGCUUCGGCUAUCACUUUUGGAUGGUCCCGCGGCGUAUUAGCUAGAUGGUGAGGUAACGGCUCACCAUGGCAAUGAUACGUAGCCGACCUGAGAGGGUAAUCGGCCACAUUGGGACUGAGACACGGCCCAAACUCCUACGGGAGGCAGCAGUAGGGAAUCUUCCACAAUGGACGAAAGACUGAUGGAGCAACGCCGCGUGAGUGAAGAAGGGUUUCGGCUCGUAAAACUCUGUUGUUAAAGAAGAACAUAUCUGAGAGUAACUGUUCAGGUAUUGACGGUAUUUAACCAGAAAGCCACGGCUAACUACGUGCCAGCAGCCGCGGUAAUACGUAGGUGGCAAGCGUUGUCCGGAUUUAUUGGGCGUAAAGCGAGCGCAGGCGGUUUUUUAAGUCUGAUGUGAAAGCCUUCGGCUCAACCGAAGAAGUGCAUCGGAAACUGGGAAACUUGAGUGCAGAAGAGGACAGUGGAACUCCAUGUGUAGCGGUGAAAUGCGUAGAUAUAUGGAAGAACACCAGUGGCGAAGGCGGCUGUCUGGUCUGUAACUGACGCUGAGGCUCGAAAGUAUGGGUAGCAAACAGGAUUAGAUACCCUGGUAGUCCAUACCGUAAACGAUGAAUGCUAAGUGUUGGAGGGUUUCCGCCCUUCAGUGCUGCAGCUAACGCAUUAAGCAUUCCGCCUGGGGAGUACGGCCGCAAGGCUGAAACUCAAAGGAAUUGACGGGGGCCCGCACAAGCGGUGGAGCAUGUGGUUUAAUUCGAAGCUACGCGAAGAACCUUACCAGGUCUUGACAUACUAUGCAAAUCUAAGAGAUUAGACGUUCCCUUCGGGGACAUGGAUACAGGUGGUGCAUGGUUGUCGUCAGCUCGUGUCGUGAGACGUUGGGUUAAGUCCCGCAACGAGCGCAACCCUUAUUAUCAGUUGCCAGCAUUAAGUUGGGCACCCUGGUGAGACUGCCGGUGACAAACCGGAGGAAGGUGGGGAUGACGUCAAAUCAUCAUGCCCCUUAUGACCUGGGCUACACACGUGCUACAAUGGAUGGUACAACGAGUUGCGAACUCGCGAGAGUAAGCUAAUCUCUUAAAGCCAUUCUCAGUUCGGAUUGUAGGCUGCAACUCGCCUACAUGAAGUCGGAAUCGCUAGUAAUCGCGGAUCAGCAUGCCGCGGUGAAUACGUUCCCGGGCCUUGUACACACCGCCCGUCACACCAUGAGAGUUUGUAACACCCAAAGUCGGUGGGGUAACCUUUUAGGAACCAGCCGCCUAAGGUGGGACAGAUGAUUAGGGUG
rnacentral:rRNA from 1 species